AGAGACUUAGGAUAAUUUAGACCAAGAGCCUUCAAAGCUCUCAGUAGAAGUGAAAAUCUUCUAGUCUCUG
rnacentral:tRNA from 2 species